UCUUUAACUUUUUCGUUUUUCUUUGCCCGCAGGUACAUUUCAUAUAUUUAACUUUAAGCAGCUUCAUUCCUUCAUCAAAUGAGCUUCUUCCAGGUUGGGACCAUAUGAUGGCACUAGCCUUACAUAUCCAUCAUAAGAUGGUGGUUGGUGCGGAAUCCCAUAUCCAGGUGGCAGGGGCCACCACCACGUCCCUCAUAGCAUGACUUACAGCACACUCCAAUUGGAUAGAUGAAUGCUAAAUACCCUGGCGGUGGCGUUGGCGGUGGCGGUGAUCAAAUGAGCUUCUUCCAGGUUGGGACCAUGUGUUGAUGAUGCUACGGAUGCAUCCCUCCCACUCAUUUCUUUACGUACAAUCAUCAAGAUAUUAGUCAACUUUGGUCCCUCGUUACUUUCUUUACCUCAGAUUUGAAUACGCGAUUUCUUUACAUACAAUCAUCAAGAAAAUACUUGUUUGUGUACGUAGUGAAUGCACAUACAUGAGACAUUGACUUGCAGAAUUGUAUAGAACCUGAAAGAUCAUAAAGUUCACAAAUGGUUGCAGAAUUCUCCAGUACCAGAGUUCCAUACCAGUACCUUGUGGGGUAUUCUGAGGAUUGAAACAUUCAGGGCGUCUUCCAAAGGGCCCUUACAAAAGGUGCUUUUGAUAAUCUUUUUAUUCUCCUUUUGAAGUGAAUUAUAAGCAUCUAAGGAUGAAAUCAACAUCUAUUAGUCCACAAAUAUUAUUGGCCUAUACAACCUUUAUGUUGUGGACGAGAAAAGAACCGAAAAGAACUGAUCACCGACUCAACACCCAACUGAGAAAAGGAACUAAAGAAACCAGAUAACGACAAUCACGAUGGAGUAUGAUUCACAUGAUGGUGCAUGUGGGAUUUUCUUCAAUAUCGAAUUCACUGCGGCAACCAUAGCUUCUGUCACAGCGACACCCAGAAGCCCAGCCAUCAUAGGAUGGCACUGGCCUUACAUAUUCAUUAUAAGAUGGUGGUUGGUGCUGAAUCCCAUAUCCAUGGUGGUAGGGGCCACCAUCACGUCCCCCAUAGCAUGACUUACAGUACACUCNNNN
rnacentral:lncRNA from 1 species